rnacentral:ncRNA from 1 species
UGUCUCCUCCACCUCCCUUUGGUGGAUUCCACCCCGGGCCUCGCGGUCCGGGGUUUUUUUU